rnacentral:rRNA from 1 species
UACGUAGGCAGCGAGCGUUGUUCGGAAUUACUGGGCGUAAAGAGUGUGUAGGCGGUGCUCUAAGUUCGGUGUGAAAUCUCCUGGCUCAACUGGGAGGGUGCGCCGGAAACUGGAGUGCUUGAGUGCGGGAGAGGAAAGUGGAAUUCCUGGUGUAGCGGUGAAAUGCGUAGAUAUCAGGAGGAACACCGGUGGUGUAGACGGCUUUCUGGACCGUAACUGACGC